ACCUGUAGUACAGAUAUUUUCCAAUUAGUAUCUUUGCAUGUUCUCCUCUGGAGUGAGUGGGGUUUAGCCUUGUCACACUGGGCUUUUAAGGGGAGCUCUAUCUUUGCAGCCCAGGCUACAUGUGACAAGAUUAAAUUGGCACACUUUACUGUAGAGCUCUGUGUUCCUGGCAGCGCUAGCCUGGCUGAUACCUCUGAGAGCAGGCUCAGCUGUCACUCAGUGACCCAUUAACACUACCGUUCCAUCCUGCAGUGUCAUUUUUCUCAUUCUUAUGGAGAUAACGCUCCCUGGAGAUAGGCAAUACCUGCAGGAAUGAAAGCGAACAGCGGAGACAGGCAAAGUAUCAAAGAGGGAGCAAACAACACAGCAAGACCAUGAAUUCCAAAAGUUGACUUUAAAAUUGAGUGAAAAGAUGACGCCCAUUAUGAUGUCUGGGUUUGGAAGGUGGGGAGAGGAUCAAGUUUUAAGAGAUAUGAUUUUCCAUCAACUUGUACAGUGUUUUUCAAUAAACCGAUAUGGUUAAAAUCCUAUGGACAAGGAAUAUGUCAAAGAAAGCAUCUGUGUGUCGAAGAGAAAAGAGAGAAAAAAGUGGCAUUGGUAACUGUUCCAGUUCCAGAAAUUACAUCCACAUUCCAGUUCCAGAAAUUACAUCCACAUUCCAGACUUCAGAGAAGUUAUGCUAUGAUCUUGCUUGCAUUUUUCUGGUUAAAUCUAACUUCAAAAAUGGGGAAAGAGGCAGAAGCAGCUGGGCUAGACAUGCCCGUGUCCUCUCUCAAAGUCAUCUCUUCUCCAAGAAAGGAACGAGGGAGUCAAGAUUGACCACACAGUUUGCUACUAUCACGUUCCCUCCACAAGGAAGAUGCAUCAGGAGUGUUUGCUCUCUGCAUUAUGCUUCCCCCUUACCAGAAAAAAAAUUAUGAUAAUAAAGGACAACUUCAAAGUUCCUUGGAAAUUUUGCUUCAAAUGGUUAUUGAUUUAAUUCCAAGGUUGAAUAAUUUUCU